GCGAGUCGUCUGAUUUUUGCUUCCUAACUUUUCAACAAAAAUGUAUUUAAAGUUACUUGUUUUAGUAUUUGCGCUAAUUAGCAUUAGCAACGUUGAAGCCUCCCACGGAUAUGACUUCGGCGACUUUUUGGCCACGGUGUUGGGCCUGGGUAUUGCAGUUAUAGGUAUUCUUGCGUGUUUAGGCAACUACGCACGACAAAAAGCCAGGAACGAGUUCAUCUAAAUAAUCGCUGUAGUGUAGAUGUGAAGUGCACAAGGGGCUAAAGGAUCUACCCUCACUUAUUGUAUUAAAAUUUGAUGAUAGCAAAAUGGAAAUAUGCCACUUAUAUUCGAAUAUUAUUUUUAAGCAUAGUAGAUGUCAUAAGAAAUUGUGAUUAUUUUUAAAUAUUAUUACCAAUUAUGUAUGAGGUUAAUUAAACCACCUUUACAAUAA